AAAUUGAAGAGUUUGAUCAUGGCUCAGAUUGAACGCUGGCGGCAGGCCUAACACAUGCAAGUCGAACGGUAACAGGAAGCAGCUUGCUGCUUUGCUGACGAGUGGCGGACGGGUGAGUAAUGUCUGGGAAACUGCCUGAUGGAGGGGGAUAACUACUGGAAACGGUAGCUAAUACCGCAUAACGUCGCAAGACCAAAGAGGGGGACCUUCGGGCCUCUUGCCAUCGGAUGUGCCCAGAUGGGAUUAGCUAGUAGGUGGGGUAACGGCUCACCUAGGCGACGAUCCCUAGCUGGUCUGAGAGGAUGACCAGCCACACUGGAACUGAGACACGGUCCAGACUCCUACGGGAG
rnacentral:rRNA from 1 species